GUGGCAUUUAUUACAGUUUGACGAAGAUUGUGUACAAAUAUUCAAUGCUGCACCAAUAAUUGCGUAUAGCAAACAUAAAAGUGUUCGAGAUAUGCAUAGUGGAUCAAAGUUAAGGACUUUAACAUAAAAUUGACAGUUGGACCCCUGAUGGUGGCAGAUCUGUCAUAAUAAGACCGGUCAUAAUAAGUAGGUCUAUUGAUGAAGAAUUAAUAUAUCAAUUUAUACAUGAAUAAUUUUCAUAUUUGAUUUUUAUUAAAAUAAUGCAUCUAAAAUUACCAUCCCAAGCCAGAGCCUCUAACCCCAAGCUUUAACUACCGAAACACUAAAAUAGUGAUCAAUAGUGUUGGGUCCUAUCAUGCAAUAUGGGAUGCGUGGUUGCAUGUGUGUUUUAUAAUAACAAAACUCAAUGAAAAUCAACAAAGUCCUGAAAUAACCUUUUCUAGUAAAUUAUUUUUGGCAAUUUUAUC
rnacentral:lncRNA from 1 species